rnacentral:rRNA from 1 species
GGGCCGGCUAUCCUGUACAUGCAAGUCGAGCGAACAGAUAAGGAGCUUGCUCCUUUGACGUUAGCGGCGGACGGGUGAGUAACACGUGGAUAACCUGACUAUAAGACUGGGAUAACUUCGGGAAACCGGAGCUAAUACCGGAUAACAUUUUGAACCGCAUGGUUCAAUAGUGAAAGGCGGCUUUGCUGUCACUUAUAGAUGGAUCCGCGCCGUAUUAGCUAGUUGGUAAGGUAACGGCUUACCAAGGCAACGAUACGUAGCCGACCUGAGAGGGUGAUCGGCCACACUGGAACUGAGACACGGUCCAGACUCCUACGGGAGGCAGCAGUAGGGAAUCUUCCGCAAUGGGCGAAAGCCUGACGGAGCAACGCCGCGUGAGUGAUGAAGGUCUUCGGAUCGUAAAACUCUGUUAUCAGGGAAGAACAAAUGUGUAAGUAACUGUGCACGUCUUGACGGUACCUGAUCAGAAAGCCACGGCUAACUACGUGCCAGCAGCCGCGGUAAUACGUAGGUGGCAAGCGUUAUCCGGAAUUAUUGGGCGUAAAGCGCGCGUAGGCGGUUUUUUAAGUCUGAUGUGAAAGCCCACGGCUCAACCGUGGA